rnacentral:rRNA from 1 species
UACGUAGGGGGCAAGCGUUGUCCGGAUUUAUUGGGCGUAAAGAGCGUGUAGGCGGUCUGGUAGGUCCGUUGUGAAAACUCGAGGCUCAACCUCGAGACGCCGAUGGAAACCCUCAGACUAGAGUCCAGAAGAGGAGAGUGGAAUUCCUGGUGUAGCGGUGAAAUGCGCAGAUAUCAGGAGGAACACCGGUGGCGAAGGCGGUGGUCUGGGCCGGCACUGACGCUGAGGAGCGAAAGCGUGGGUAGCAAACAGG